GAGUUGUCAUUAUUGCUUGGUUUUGGUUUAGGUUUAGUUUUCAUAGCAAACAGGGCAUAAAACAUAGUUGUAUGUAUGUUUGUGGUGUUUGGGAAUCUCUCUCGAUACGAGUGUUAAUGUCCAUGUGGUUCCACUUCUUCUUUCAAGUCCUUCUCUACUGCCCUUGCCUUCCUCAGUCCAUCUCAACCGUCUGAUGAUGAUGAUGAUCAUCGUUGUUGUCAUCUACUGCUUCUUCUUCUUAUACUAAUAGUACUGCAACUUCCAGUUCUGGUUAUACCCACAACCUUAACCCCGCCAAAACUAGCACCCCUGUAGCUCAGGACUUGUUUGAUGCAUCCCGGGUUGUCCAAAUCUUGAACUCCAUGAAAAGGGAUCUCAAGACCGCAAUUUCAUUCUUUGACCGGUUAAGACACAACUGUUCGAUGAAAUGCUUCUUCAGGAUAUUGAACCUGUUUGCUUAGCUGACCUAUGCUACUCAUCGAGCCCAUGGUUAAGGUACAAGGAAGCCUACUCCAUCAGUUAUGAGUCAAACAGAAGAUGCUUCAGAUCAGGAGUUGAACACAACACAGCUGCAGGACACUGGCAGCUGCUAAUCAAGAUUGCAGGGGGUUAGAAACUCUAGGUGUAAUAGAAGUGCUUGGAUUUAUGAAGCUAAGGAUAUGCAAGGAGUUAUCAAAUUGUAUGGUGUAGCUAGCAGCAAUGCAAGUUCAACAAAGUGAUUGUACGGACAGAGCGAAGAGAAAGGCUCAGCUGUUAUUGAAGCUUCUUCGGGAUUCAUGGCCCGAAGAUUCUAUCGGAAAUUCGGACGAUUUUCCUUGCACUGAAGUUGUGAUACGGUUUUGUUGUUCUUAGAAUGAAAAAAAAAAAAAAUAUUAAGAUUAUGUUUUUUUUUUUGUCAAUCCGGUCUCAAUUUUUCUUUGUUGUUAGUAUAAGAAAAAAAGGAAAAAGAAAAUGAUAAUUGAGGUUUUAGAUUAGUAUAUAGUGAAUUGUAAUUCUGUAUGUAAUUUUGUAUGUAAGAAUUUUUGUUGGAAAGUUGAAAAGCAAAUGAAAAGAUAGAUCUGUUCUUGUU